GCAGUUGGUAGCUCAGUGGUAGAGUGCAUGCUUUGUGUGUAUGACGUCCAGGGUUUGGCUUCCCAGGUCGCCAUUGCA